rnacentral:lncRNA from 1 species
ACUAACCUCUGCAGAGUAUAUAUUAAUCUAUCGAUAGCCGCGCCCGCGAAUAAGGGCCCAGGUCGAGAGAAGGUCACACCAUGAGUCAACAGUAAUAAUAAUAAUGUGCUUAACAAUAGUGAGAUAAGUUGGCCAAGUGUUGGUCGGGUUGUGAUCACCGUAAGGAUCACGGGACAUGUAGUGGUCGGGUUGUGAUCGCCGUAAGGAUCAGGGGCCAGGUAUUGGUCGAGUUGUGAUCGUUGUAAGGAUCAUGGUUUGAGACUAGUGUUGGUCGUGGUUGUGAUCGCCGUAAGGAUCACAAUGGUAUCGAGGAUACUGAGUUGUUGUAUAUUCGUGAUGUUGUACGAGAGUCGUGGGUAAGGAUCAAGCUCCUUUAUGGUUAUAUAAUGAUCGCUACGGUAUUGUUUAUACCAAGCUUGAUUUGAACCUAAGAUGAUCGUGUGAUGUCCGAGGUUGGUAAGUGAUGCAUGUGUUGGUUACAAGGUAACCGUGCAGUAUGAGUAGUGCAUGAUAGUGUCAUCAUGUUGCACGAUAGUAUUGUUGGAUUAAUAUGUUCAUGUUGUGAUAGCUGUAUCGUCUUUAUGUUGGUCAUGCCAUGUUAUAUUGUUCUAAUGAUAUCAUGAUAAUUCCUGUUUAAUCUGUAAUUGCCAUGCUGUUGUUUGUCUUGAAUGGUUCUGGUUAUUGUGAGCUUGCAAGUACAUUCAAUGUACUGACCUGGCGUGUCAUGCCAGUUUGCAGGUCAUGUCGGAUUUGAUUGCUUGCUUGUCGUGGUUUCCGUUCGUGCGAGCUAGGAUAAGCAUUCCAGCCAGAGUCCCUGCGGAGUGGAGUUCACUACUGUCUUCGUUGUUCCGCUGCUAGAGUUAUUCCGCUGCUUCGAGUUGUUCUGCUGCUUGCAUAGAGCAACUGAGGAUGGCGUGGUGUUGCCGUACCGAUGUUAUUCAUUGUAAUAUCGGAGACCUUGUAAUCAUAUUCGUGUAAUAAUAGAAGGCUGGUUUGUUCUAUGCUAAGCAGUGUCGUAUUCCAGAAGACUUCUCCUUGAUCUCUGGGCUGGAAUACGGGGCGUUCCGGUUUUCUCUGAGCCUGGGUGCCACAGCGCUUGGUAUCAGAGCAGGUUUGGCUGUAGGACGCCUUAGACCGCGCGAAUGUUAGAAAGCGUUAGUAUAGACCCCAGUUGGUUUAUUGCACUUGAUUGCUGCAUUUUUUUGUCGCAUAGUAUGCAUACAGCCUCAUUAUUUGUUACUAACGGUUUAUCUGGUGAGUGUAGUUGGCAUCGGUUCGGAUCCACUACAACUCAACCUUUGCAUUCCUCCAGUUCUUUUGGAGUUUGGUGUUAAUUCUGUCCCAGAAGAGUGAUGCCAAGUGAUCCCGACACUGUUUGCAAAAAUGGUGCUCAGGUAUCGCACUGAUGUCUUUCCUUCAGUCCCGCCUAUCGUUUUGGUGAUAGAAAUGUUUCUAUCCUGGAUCGUUCUUUUAUUUUGUCAUGUUGGCAACCCUUAAUGAUCUUAGUUAUCAAGAAAGGGCAAUGUCAGCAGCCUCAGUUUUUCCCUGCUAUCCUAUUUCUUGGACGAGUACGGAUUUUUUUUCCAUCCGCUUGAUAAUAAUGUGGUUGCGACCUUCGUGUCCUACUGCAUGAUUACCGAGUACGUCCUCGUCUUCGAGCUAGUCCAGGUUGCUAUCUGGCUAAGCUAGCACUUGGUGUAGCGCUGUUUACACCAAUUCUUCCACACAUUUAUUCGUCCUCGUGCACAUCGUCACAGGAUGUUAGAUCGCAAUACCGGAGUUUCCAUGAGAGUUGUGUGCUUAGGUGUGCAUGCAUAUUAUUGUGUGAGUAGCAGUAAUAUGUGGUGAUUGCUUGAUUAAUUAUCUUAGUAGAAUGAUUGUGUGCUUUUGUUUUAGUCGUUUCUGUUGUUCCUUUCUUUGGGCCUUCGGUGUUACAAAGUUCUCCCCUAUUAAAGUUGCUCGUCAACCGACACCGGACCCGACGAGUCAGCAAGAAAUGCAUAUAUUUGGAAACUCAGCUAAACAGAAUGGAAUUAUCAGUAGUGAAAUUUGGAAUGUCUCGUCUGAAUGCAAAAGAAAUCCUAGAUGGACCGUCACUAUCAAGUUUGCAUUAGCAUGCACCCAUCACAACAAAAUGAUUAAAUCAACAGGAAGAUAAAUUGUGUGCAAGUUUGGCAGAAUAUUAUCGAAUGUAUGGCUCAGAUACAAGUUUAAUUUUUCGUUGAGGAUGAUUUUGGAACUCGAUGUACCUGGAAGCAAGCAAAAAUAUGGCAUAUACUCAGAAAGGAGAAUAGUCUUGCAAAACCCCGUUUCAUGCAAGAAAUCAACAUCAGAAAUAUUAAGAUGGUUAUAUAUGUGGAAAUUGGUCCGCAUAUCACAAUAAGAAGUUUCUGGUGUAAGCAACUCACCUUUCCCUUGCAAGAUACCAGAGAAGCUUCCAAGGAAAGAUUCGUCUACCUUCCUCAGUACGAUACAUGGAUGACUUCUCGCGCAAGGUACUCUACCUUCUUUUGUAAGCAAUCGUAAAAGCUUCCAGCAUAAGGUACUGAGUUUUUCCCCAGCAAAGUCUUUAAGGGGGUAAGCUUCUGAAACACGAUAUUCAGUCUUCUUCAGCAAGCUGUCCGAUGAAAGUUUUGAGCAGAAGCCAGCAAAUCUUCCUCAGUAAGACAUUGGUACAAGGUAGUAUGCUAUGAAAGCAUAUGGCAGCGAAUCCCAAGAAUCAGAUCCACAACAUUUUGGUCAGAAUCAAAAAUCAGUCAGAAUACACGUCUGUCUCGGAAUCAGAUUCUCAUAUAUAUGCGGUGAGCAUACCACCAAGAUCUUACAAGUCACUCGGAUGAGGAUCUGAUAACCACGUGAGGAUGAUUAAGAGAAGAAAGCCAGGAUAUACCACAGUGUGACAAAGGAUUAUGAGGAUUGACGACCUCAGUGAGCUCAGUACAAGUACCUAUGAACCUGGAAAAAUGAUCCUGAUGAGCCCUUGUUCCCUUUUUCGCCAAUGAUGGCACCACGCCUGUGAUCUGAGCUGUUUCUAGCUAUCCGGGGUGGAUGCCUAUUUUUGUUUCUCUUUUCAACGACUGUCACGAGUCUGAGCUGCUUUUCGGCCAUCUCGUACAGCUGUUGAGUUUCUUUUUGUGACAGUAGCCCUAUAGCUGCUUUUUGGCUAUUUUAGGGAGCUGCCACCUUCUUCUUAUCGACCCGGUCUCAUGCUUUGAGCUGCUUUUCGGCCGUCCUGAGCCGUGGUUAAGUUAUUUCAGUAAUGUCCCAGAUCUGAGUUAUAAAGACCGUUCUGGUGGCUACUGAUUUAUUUGUUGAUUUCUUGCAAGGGUUUCGGAUGAUCAUUUCCCAACGAUCGGAAUUUGAGAGGUGUUGAACCUGCCAUUCAAUGGGUUACCCUGUCAGAAAAAUGAGGAUAAACUACGAUUGCCGAAAAAUUGCACCGACAGUCCCUAUGGUCAUACGAAGAAGCAAUAUGGCCCAGCUCUUUCAGCCAAAGAUCCAGAUCAAGAAAACAAUAAUGAAGGAGCAAGAUCAGUGAUGCAGGUAUGAAAAAUUGUGCACGACCCCCAUGGUGUAGAUCCCCCGGACAGUCUAAGUCCGUAUUGAUCCACAGGAUAUGCCUACAGCAUGAGUAAUAGGCAUGAGGAAUAACAGUCUGGAAGCCUGAGUCCUCACUUAUAUAAAUCAUCAUGGAUACCCUGUCGCGAACAAAAAAAAUUCCGUCAGAACCACCAUCAGUCAAGUUCGCAGAUAUUAUCAUACAUGCCAAACCCUUUAUGCUAGCUACGUCAGGAGACAAUCAAAUAUUUGGUACAGAUCCGAUACUCACGAAAAUGGAACCAGUUAAGAUAAUUCAAAAACUUCUGCGAUGAGUCAGAGUCUGUGAGGAAACGGUUAUGUUUUAACUCACUGUUUGGAACCCAAAGGACCUACAUUUAGUGGAGAAGCCCAAUGCAAUGAGUUAGAGCUUGAGUUUUCAUCACAAAAUUCUGAUCAUCAUUAUAAGAAAGGUUGUCAGUGCCAGGUGGCACACCCAGCGGAAAUCACUUUUGGAUUUGUGAGACAGACAUAUAUUUCAGUUGCGAUAAUUAAAUCACACUCAGCUAGUCGGCAGAUCUAAAAAGAAAUUGGAGCCUAUAUAAGCAUGAGCAAGCCAGGUAAGAUCUGUCGGAAUGUGGAUACAGUGAAUCAAGCCACCCAGGGCCAGUCAAAUAAAAAUUUAGUGGGAACAACAAUAAAGGAAAAAAGGAUACCUGAGUUGGAAACGGUUUCCUUAAGUCAGAAUAUUCAUACUAGUUCCCUGAGCAAACAAAUCUCGAGGACGAGAUUUCAUUAAGGGGGUAAGGUUUGUCACAGCCUGAUUUUUGGCCAUUUCUUUUUCUUUUGUUUUUCCGAGGUUUUUGCCUGAGUUUUCUUUUUCCGUGGCUUUGUGGUCUGGAAACUGAAGAAGAUGCUCUCUUCUUUGCUUCCAGAGUGGCUUGUCAUUCCCAAAAUCCUUCCCUAGACCUUUCCAUUUCCAUCCUAGCCCAAAUCCCAAUAUUCUUUUUAUUGGGAAUAUUCCUUUUCUAUUAAAGGAAUAACUCUAAUUGCCCUAGGUUGUGAAGCAACCUAUACUUCCAUCACUCCCAGAAUUCCCAAAUAUUUCUCAUAAAUUGCUUGGGUCAUAUCUUGAUCAAAUAUGGCAAAACUUUUCAUUGCCAUGUUCAAAAAUAAUUCCCCAAUAUUCCAUUUCCUAUUCUGCCCUGAAUGGCACUUUGUGAAGGAAGUGUCAUUUAUAUUUCUCCUAUUGACUCCCAACAUUUUUGGGCAUGUUUAUAUGUCAAAAUAAUUGCCACAUGCACAAGUUCAAAUUUAUUUGCCUAGCCAAUCUUCCUCAGUGAUUUUUCAAAGUUUCUGUCAAACAGAAAGCUUUGUGAAGGAAGUACUAGCUAGGGGUACCCAAAUGAGUUGUACUUUUGCACACUCCUUAAUGUGCUCAUAUUAAUGCCCUCCACCCAUUUGCAGCCCCAUCCAACCAUCUAUGUGAGCGCAGGAGCAAAUAUUUGUUUCUGGCAAUAUUUUCAGGUUGUGAAGCAAGUAUAUUUUAUAUUGCUUCACAAAUCCUGAUAAAUUACCAGAUCAUUCUUAUACCCAUAAAACAUCCCUCCACCCACUUUGGCAUCAUUUCAUUGAGCCAUUCGACCACCAUAAUUAUUUCAAGUUUCUGGUCAGAAGAGAUGUUUGUGAAGCAAGUGCUAUUUUGGUUUGUCCAUUUGGCAUAAUCUUUUUACACCAUCAUCAUAUGACCUAAUGCCUAAGCCUUGACCAAUUUGAGCUCAAGAGGACCCUCCAUGUGAUUGAAUCUUGAUGAUCUCCAUUUCUGGACCAUUUUGGCAGUUGCAAAGCAACUAUGAGUUAUCUUGGUCCAUUUCCCCUCCAAACCCCCAGGAUCAUAGUCCCUCUUUACCUCAACAUCCCAGGCAUCUUGUUUGGUCUCCAGUAAUUCUCAGUUGAUCUCAUUGAGCUGAUGAAGUUUACUGCAGUAAACUUUAGAGAGUUAUUUCUUUUUGACCAGAGACUCUUUCACCUAGUUACCACCUCAUUUCAAACCUAUCUUCGACAGAUUUACCACUAGACAAUGUUUUUCUAGCUGUUUGCCUCCCCCACAUGCCAGCACUGGUGGUGACCACCGUUUUGGCACGCAAUGGCUGCGCCCAGAAUGCUGUUUGUGAUCGGUCCCCUCCCCCUCUCGUUGUCUUCGCACCCGUGAGCAUGUCCAGUAGAUUGCCCUCGUCGUCGCCGCUCCGAUGGACCCCUCUCCCCCUCCGGCAGCUUGCUCUCUGAUGCUCGCCGACGAGCGCCCACGGGAGCACUGUGCUCCGACAUGCUUUAAUGGCGUUCGGCCGUUUCUCCUCUUAGCCUCUCGACCCCUUCUACCCCGUGAGGUCCUUCCUAUGCGUCGCCGUCGCCUUCCCCUGAGUCCAUGCACGAGCACACACGUCCGCGGCGCCGGACAUGCGUCGUCGGCGGUGCCAGCUCGGCCCCCUCGCCCCGCGGCUAUAUAAGCCCUCCUCGAGCCUCUCCGAGCUCACCACCAGCCUCACACCACCUCCAGCAACCUCCCAGGCCUCUCCCUUGAGCUCUAGAGCCCCUCCCCACCUCUCUCUGCCGCCACGGCCACCGCUUCGGCCCGGCAAGAUUAGCUCGAUGCCGGCCCUCCCCCUCUUGUCUGUAGCCGCCGGAGAACUCCCCUCGGCCCCCUGAUCCUCCCCACCUACCUGCCCCUCGCCGGAGUACCCCGUAGCCCCACCUCACCCGAGGCCAUCUCCGCCGAAGUCCACCACCUAGCCGCUCCAAUCCUCCUCGGCGUUCGUGCCCUAUGGGAACAGGUAUGGCUCGUCCCCCUGAGCUCGCCCGUAGGUCGCAAGGCCCGAGCGGUGGCCGGAGCCGCCAGCAAGCCUCGUCGGCGCUGCUCCCCUCCCUUUGUUCCGUCGGGCAUCGACAAGGAGGAAGAAGACGAAGGCGUUGACCCCCCUGUAGCCUGCCAGCUAGCCGCGGGCCCCGCGUGUCAGCCUGACAUCGUUGACCGGUCAGCGCCCGGUGGAUAAGUGACGGGCCCCACCCGUGGGACCCGCACGCAUCAGCCCCACCACUAUUCAUUUGGAUAAGGUGAAAACGUAUUUCCCAGAUUAAGUUUUCUGUUUUUCUGUUCAGGUCCCUCUUUGGAAAUCUUUUCAUUAUAGAUAGGUCCCUGGUAGUAAAACCCUUAUAUCUUUUUAUCCGUAACUCUGUUUGAGGUGAAACCAAUGCUCACUUCUUCGUUUUGUCGAGCCUUUCCGUUGGUGUCACUUUAAUUAUGUUUUGACAUACUGAUGACCUUUAUGCCCUUGCCCUUAUUCAGCCCCCUCCGAGAGAGAACGAUUUCCGGCGAAUCUUUCUGCGGCUUCACCGCACUUCUCCCCGGUGCCUUCUUCAUCCCCAGGAAAGCCACAAUACCCACUUGCAUGAUAGUCAGGCAGUAGCCAUGGUUUUCAACUUGAAUCUUUAAUAAAUGUUUGCUUGUUGAAAAGUUGGUUAUCUUUGUCCCGGUGAUGUUCAGAUUUGCAUGUUCACUUUUGUGAUAUGUUGUCUUAUACUCUAUGUUAUACCUGCUAGUAUUAUCUUUCAUAUGUUUAUGCUUGUUAGUAGUACAUGUUGAUGUUGGAUAUGGUCGUGCUAGUCAGUAUGCCAUGCUCAGUGGAUAUGAUUUAUUGUUGAUAUGGUGGAAAGUUAUGUGAUACUCUCAUGAUGAUGUUGAUAACAUGUUCAUGUGUUAUAGUUGGCAUCAUGUUAUUUUAUCAUGAUUCAGCAUAUUUGCAUUCAAGUUAACCAGAUUAAAUUGAACUUGAACAACUGUUGGUUGAGUCAUGGUGCCGCUGAAUCGAUGCUGACCAGUGCAACCACGCUUACCGGUAUGGGACGGUCCUAACUAGGUCUAUUGUCGUGCCUCUAGCCGGUACCUCAAUUUAGGGAAGGUUAUGGGCGCGUGCUACCCUGAUCAGGUAGGCGGAGCAUAACCUUGUGAGCUCAUUGUUAAGUUAAUUUUGGUACCGGAUCCCAGUGUGGAUCGUGGCCAUGACGGUGGUCGAGGUGUCUGGAGGUAGACACGGGGCCACCCAGGACUAGCCCGGUGGGGUCUGAGUCGGAAGGGCCGGGAGAGUGUCAUGACAAUAGAUCAGUUUUGUCGGAACACCGUUGGUCCACCCAAAUGGGAGAGUGAGGCCAUGGGUUCCGUAGUGUGGGUACAGUGUACUAACCUCUACAGAGUGUAUAUUAAUCUAUCGAUAGCCGUGCCCGCGGAUAAGGGCCCAGGUCGAGAGAAGGUCACACCAUGAGUCAACUAUAAUAAUAAUAAUGUGCUUAACAACAGUGAGAUAAGUUGGCCAAGUGUUGGUCAGGUUGUGAUUGCCGUAAGGAUCACGGGCCAUGUAGUGGUCGGGUUGUGAUCGCCGUAAG